AGUCUUGUAGUCAAUAAUGAUAUAAAAUUGCAAAUUUUAAGGAGUAAGUUAUAAAUACUAAGGCUU
rnacentral:tRNA from 1 species